rnacentral:lncRNA from 1 species
GCUCUGUGACGCCGCGCAGUCCGGGGUGCGGCCAGGCGGGGCCCGCGGCGGGGGAGUCCUGGAGCCCAGUAGCGAGCGGGGGCGAUAACCAGUGCUCGGUGGCCGCAGCGAGGUCGCACAAACGAACGCUGCUCAGUUCCCCUUCCUGAGGCCUGCACCUGCCUCCGUCCUGCGGCCGGCGAGCUGGUGUUCUGCGUGAUGAGGCUCCUUCCUAGCCGCGGCUCUGGCUGAUGCGGGAUGGCGGGUCCGACGUGUGCCGCCUUCUUGGGCUCCGCAAUCGCCACUCCGUCAGCUGUUGCGAGCGGCCGGUCUGCUCCUAUGGCUGUCUAGAUUGCUAGAUGGUGUGCUGACUCCGUCUUGCCUCGUCCAACCCGGUGCACUAACCUAAGGCUUCUGGAUGGGGCCAAAAUAAUCAUUUUAACAGAGCCCAAGGGCAAAGGGCCUCUCAGGUACGAAGUCCACUAGCCUAUGUCUCAGCACGGUCCUGAUGAAGCAGAGGCUCUGGUUUGUUUUCAGCUCUGAAGGCAUAAAUUCAAGGUGGAAGAAUACCGUGACAUGGAAUUGGGGGUAGGGAUGCUUCCCUGGUUAAGAGCAAAAGUAGCCGAGAGCUAUAAUUGGUUACAAAAUAAGCUCAGUACCCUGUGGUGGAAGUGUUAUUCUUCCUACCCAAGUAUGAGUUUCAGCUUAAGCUCACAAAUUCCAUCCUUAGACUGGACACCAAUUUUACUGCUUUCAUCUCUGCAACAUUCUAAGAAUUGACAGGAAACACUGUCUGCCGCAUCCAACGUGUGCUAACUUGAACUGAGACACAGCCAUGACUCCAGUAAACUUUCAGGAAGGAAACGAAGAUAAGACACCUAUGCUGUGCUGUGAUGUCAGGAGCAAUUUCCAAAUUACAGUUCUUACCAAACUUCAUCAGUUGCAACACUCAACCUGCAUCCAACCUGAAAUGUCUAUCACCUAUUUUCAUGACUCCUGUAACUAACUAUAAAUGUCAGUGUUGUUCAACAUUAAGAGUAAAGCGAUGAGUUUUAGACCGUCCGUUUUUUUCCUACCCAGUACCACCUGCUCUUCUAGUCUGAGUGUAAAAGUUCAUUAGAAUCUCCUUGUGCUUAGGUACUUUCAUCUGACUGCUUUUCUGUAUGGGUCAUGAUGUUUACAUCUGAUGAGUUUAAUCCAAAUACCUUUUCCUGCUCCUCAGUCCAUAAAUAUCACUCAACCUCAGCUUAGGUGAAGUGGUCCAGAGAUGACCUUGUUUUCUCCAUUUUCAAAUGAUUGGUCACCUCAUAAAUUCUAUCUUGCAAAACCUA